AUCAUGCCACUGCACUCCAGCCUGGGGGACAGUGCAAGACUCCGUCUCGAAUAAAAAAAAAUACUGACAUGAGUGCAAAAAGCAGGUAUAGAUUAAGUUUUCAUAAAUAUAUUACUGACUUGUGAUCAAGAGAAUAUUGUCAGACUUAAGAAAGUAGAAGUCAACACAAUACUAAGCAGCAAUUUAAUAGAGUGCUAAUCUAAUCAGAAAAGGCUUCCAAAAUUCUGCCGAGAAAGAGAAUAACAUUUUUUGAAGCACAUGAUAUUCGCUUGGAGGAGAAAGAAACAGCUUUUUGUUAUUUUUUGCUGUCUUAGAUCACGCUGAGUUUUUACUGCAAGAAACCUAUGAAAAGUACCCAUUACUAAUAGCACUCAGGAGAAUAGAAGAGAUGGAAAUAAAGGAGGCAAGAAUGGUUUACAGAUCCAGCUGAAACCGAAUGGAAGGAAAGGCAGUGGAUUUCAUCAAGAUCCUACAGACAAGGUGUAAGAUCUGUAAUUUCGAAAGGACAUAUACACAAACUCAUUCAGCCACAUUCCAGUCUAGAAUUAACAUGAAGAAAAUCUAUUAACAAUGGUAAAGCUUUUUUCCUCUCCAAAUGAAUAUGGCAAUACCCAUUCUGGAGAACUCUUAUUCUCUGUUGAAAUAACACCACUUUUCUAUAUGGCCAUCUAGCAAUAAAUAUAAAAAUGGUUAAUUUGCAUA
rnacentral:lncRNA from 1 species